ACGGGUGAGUAAUAUAUGGGAACGUACCGUGGAGUGGGGGAUAACGUAGCGAAAGUUACGCUAAUACCGCAUACGAUGUACGGAUGAAAGUGGGGGAUCGCAAGACCUCAUGCUAGUGGAGCGGCCGAUAUCUGAUUAGCUAGUUGGUAGGGUAAAAGCCUACCAAGGCAUCGAUCAGUAGCUGGUCUGAGAGGACGACCAGCCACACUGGAACUGAGACACGGUCCAGACUCCUACGGGAGGCAGCAGUGGGGAAUUUUGGACAAUGGGCGAAAGCCUGAUCCAGCAAGGCCGCGUGAGUGAAGAAGGCCUUCGGGUUGUAAAUUAUGGGGUCAGGGAAGAAACGGUGAGAGCUAAUAUCUCUUGCUAAUGACGG
rnacentral:rRNA from 1 species